CAUCUGCAGGAAUGGGUCCCUGAUGGGGCCGAUCUCGUAGAGGACGCCGAUCACCGCUGUCUUGUUCGCCAAGGUCUGGUGCACCAGGUGCAGCUCCAUGUCGUACCUGCGGCCGUCGAUGGUGUGCUCGCUGGGGGUGUGCCAGUGCAACUGCCUGAGGUGGUACGUCGUGCCGUUGAUCACCAGGCUCCCGGCGUCGCCCUUGAAACUCACCAUGACGUCGUGGCCGCUGUUGACGAUGGUGGCCUCAGCGGGUCGGUAGAAGGUUUUCAGGUAGCCCAGGGAUUGCACCAGCUUGGCAAGCUCGUGGGAGAGGUCGAUGGGGGACUGCAUCCGCCCCACGCUGCAGUUCGCCCACUGCGGCUUGAUCUUGCCCCAGUUUUCCGGACCGUUAGGCGCGCCCGGGAUGUAGCUGAACCCCUCUUCAUGCUCUGCAACCAACAAAAUGCAUGCAUCCAUAUAUGCUCCCUCCAGUCAGACAGACGUACAUGGACAGGUAGGUGCAGAACGUGCACCGGUGCACCCAUGGAUAUGAUGGCAAGACACGGCAUGCAUACGAUCGAACAAAGAACAAUAACCUGUUUCUGCCUGCGCUCUGGCGCCCGGCACGGCGGCGGAGAGCAGGAGCACCACGGCGGCGAGGAGCGUCCCGACGGCGGCGUGGCGAGCUGGACCCAUGCUAGCUGCUGUCCUUUGUGCGCCGCUUGUUUCUGUGUGAUCGUUGUGGGUUUGGGAUGGGUAGCAGGGACGCCGGCAUGGUAGGGUAUAUAUACACACGAGCAAGGUGGCGGGUAGGGAGAAGCUGAACUCUUUUCCUUCAGGAAUCAGGACGGAGAGGCCGGUGAUGAUCUCGUCAAACAAACCUGCUGCCGUAGCCGAGGACGAGCACGUACAUAUACCCACGCUGCAUGAGGUCUACGUACGUUCCUGGAGGCUCAGGCUGGAGUCUACGCAUUGCUAUCCGCAUCUAAGCAACAAGUAACCGCGAUACAAAGUGGCUGGGGAUAUACCAGCUUACAAUGAAACGAUAGAAAACUGAAAGCGCCGUGCACAACACCAACUUCAUCGAGCAAACUAUAAGGGGGCUGUUUGAAUGAACUAGGACUAAACACUAGUCCUAUUAGCUUCUAUAAGUAAACUAGUGAACUAACUACUAGUCCAUGACUAGUGGACUAAGAAUUCGUCUGUCUAUUUGGCUACUCUGGGACUAAAAUUAGUUAACUAGUUGUUAGUUCUAUGGAUCCAAACAUGGCCUAAAACAACCUGAACACAGCAGACUCACAGACUUGCUUCAAGAAAGCAGGGGCAGAUCCACAGGGGGGCUGGGUGGGCUGCAGCACCCCCUAUGAGCAUGAUUUUGUACCUUAAUCACUGUUACUUAGCCUAAAAAACAUAACUAAUCUCUACCUUUAGCACUAAAUCUUCAUUGUUUAGCCCCCCCCCCCCCCCCCCCCCACCCCCCACCCCCCCGCCCUCCUGUCCUUAUCCUAGUUCUGCCCCUGCAAGAAAGCAAAACGAACAAGCUAAAAUUUAACCGGUCCACUUGACCAAAAGAGACAAGAAAGGCUAAGCUAAGACUAAGACGACUGAAGUUCUCUGCUGUAACUCCACCGGCUUGAAAGUCUUCAGGUUCAAAGAAAAAAGCAAGAAAAAAGAUGUAUCGCCCACAGGAUAGAUCCACACACUAGCUGACCGCAUCCAUUGUCUCGGCCUCUCCGGGUACGGCCGUUGCACACAGAGUCAUCGUAGAGAUGCGCAUGCAUGCAUGGCCUAGCAACUAGCAUUGUUUGAUUGUGGUCGAUCCAUUGGAGCAUGCACGGCAUUCGGUAGCUUGUCAAUGCAUGCAACUACGUACUUGUGCUCCAUCCACGCGGCUCCAAUGUUGGACGGAGCAACGGCCGGCCGCGUUCUACACAUGUCUGGCCCCUUUCUCAGUUGGUGCUUCGUGUUCUCAUGAGGUUUCCCCGUUUCCUGUUUAGGUACAAACUGUGCUGUUAGAAUUUAGGACCUCUCUAGUCUCUUUUACCUGCUAGCUGAUGUGUAAGUGUUCAGUUCUGUUAGUUAUCAACCUGUUCUCAGAUCUAGAAUUUUACAUUGUGCACAAGUAUUUAAAACUUUUGCAGAUGCAUGCAUGCAACUAAUCAAAAAUUAAUUAUCUUUAUGAUCUAUAUCUAGUUAUUUCGUGCCACAAUACUUAGAUACACUCUACUCUCUAUCUGCUUGUCAUAAAUCUGCAUCAUUUGCAUUGCUCCUCUAUAUGUGUUUUAAUUUCAUCAUUUGCAUUGCACCUCUAUAGGUUUUGAAUAUGUAUUUUGUUGAACCCUAGAAUUUGUAUAUAUCUGCUCUUUUGCAUCGUUGGGGACAUAAUAAAUCUAUAUAUAUUGGGUUAAUAUUUGAUCUUAUUAAUUGUUAAAUAGCCACCUGAUCAAGCUCCGGUAUAUGGUCAGUGCCAUACAUGAAACAGAUAGGUGGGCAUGCCUGUGCUUAGUAAUAAUGGAAAUAGAAGAGAGAAUUAAAUUCGAAGUGUCCCAUGAAAGAACAAUAGAGAGACUACUUUCGUGACUAGGCAUUUUACAAUUAACUUGAUAUGGUGACUUUACUUUCAUGUCAUCUUAACUCAACAGAUUCAAAUUGUUUUACUGAAUAUGGUGACUUUACUUUCACGUCUUUGUGUUUUGAGAUGUUCUUGAAUUUUGGCAGUCAUACAUGUAUUAACUAGAACUGGAUCUGAUCCUAUGUUUUGUGCUAAUAGAGUGUGAGUGAAUAAGUAUCUGAAGGACAACAAUUGUUUUUAGUUUGAUCCAUGCAUCCAUAUAUGGGUUGACUGCUCUGCGCUGCCGUGAACUGCUAGUUGGAGGUUGUGGGUGAAAACCCUUCCUCUGGUGGACUGGCAUCGUCGUCGGAGCCUUAUGGCACAGUUACUUUCUUGAAGGUGUUGUCAGGAAAUUCGUUGUUGUUUCUAUGGUUUAAUACCAGAAGGGAUGCUCCAUUUUGAUAGGGUUUUUGGUGGAAAAAAAAAAGCUUUGCUUAAAGCAAGGCGAAUCCAUCUGGUCAAUUACAUCAGGUUUUGUUCAUAUCUACCAGUCAUGUGGAUUGGUCGGUGGAGGACACAUGUCGGUUUAGAGACGUGUGAGACGUUUCUGUGAACUAUUGGUCACUUCCUUUUGUAGGAGGAUAAUAGAAUUUUAUGAACUUAGACCAUAUUGCUUUUAGUGCUAGAAAAUAAAAGCAACCGCGUCAGUCUCUUAGGAGCAUAGGUUGAAUGGUGGUUUUGAGUUCUAGCUAGAGUAUGAGAUUAUUCCAUGUUAUUUAUGCUAGAUCUGAUCCUUCUCUUUUUCUCCAUUUCAUUUGUAAUUGUUAUUAUGUACCGUCUUGUUAGCGAGACCGAAACUUUAUUUUAAAUAAAGCUUCUUUUUUUUUAAAAAAAAGACAACAAAGACAGGAGAGUAGAUUCUAAUUCAGUUCUAACGACGGAUCUUUUAUUUUUUUUACUUUUCAACAAGCUACCUCUAGGCGGUGCAAAAACCGUACUAUAUGUACCAGGGAGGAGUUGAACUCUUUCCGUCAGCAAGAGCCAGGAGAGGCCGGUGAACGCGUCAAAAAUAGAAAAAAAAAAUGAAGAGAGAAAAAUGUUGCCACAGUCGAGGACGAGCAAGGUACACACGCCGCAGGAAGUAAACGUUCCCGCCGUCUACGCAUUGCUGCAUUGCAUGCAUGCGUAAUGCGUAUUAUGGUCGCAGUGAGGUAUAUAUACGUACGGAGAUGGAGGCCCGUGUUGCACGAAGUCCUUGUAGAGAUGAUGCACAUGCAUGCACGGCACGUUUCUCCUGACUUAAUUGAUUUGUACGAUCCAUAGUGGCCGAUCCAUGCAUCUGGUAACUUGUCAACUUGAACUGCUGUUCGUGCUCCGAACCAUUCCCAGCAUGCAAGGCACAUGUUGGAAUAUUGCUGCAUUGGAUCACCCGCGGUCAUUCCUGACCCUUCAACUAUAAGCUCUACGCUGGUGGUGACGAUUUUUAUAUAGGCGUUUCACUUAAAGAACAUCAGUGAGAAGAAAUAUAACCAACGAAAAACUUAGAACAUGAGAGCGAUUGUAUUAGAGAGGGAUCCUACCAGUGGGUGUAUCGUGGCUUCCAAUGAAUGGUGGGAAGAGUAAAAUGCGGUGAGCACAUAAUUGACAACUACUUUUAUCUCAUAUGCAAGUUGUUAUGUUAAUUUUGAGAGAAUUUCUCUACAAAUAUCUAAUUAUUAUUUCUAUGUACUUUUUAGGCUACUAUGUCAGAUUGUAUUAUAACCUUCAGGGACAAUCCACUAGAUAAUAAUAAGGACCAGCAGUGGAUCAUGUUUGAUGCAAUUAGUGUUACAAAUGAGACUUCAUAAUAUGUGAGAGACGAGGUUAUGCUACUGAUGCUCUUCCAAUAGGUCAAAGUGAGGAUGCUACUGAUGCUAUUAGUGAGGAAGGUGGCACACCAAAGGUCACACCCACUUCAUAUGAACGGUUCAAAAAAUAGCAGCUCCUUAUUCACCUAAGGAGAAGAAGAAGACUUUUAGAGAUGGAUGCAUGAAGCUCCUUAUUCUUUUGUAUUUUUAUAGUAUACCUAUUUGUAUCAUAAUUUUUUAUUCACUCUAUAGUUUUGGUCAAAAUUUUGUUUAGAAUAGGAUAAUUUUGGUCAAACUUAAUAUGUUUUGACUCUCUAAGAAAAUUAAAAUAACUUAUAAUUUAGGACAGUGUGAGUACAUAUGUCUUAAGUCUGCUAUAAUAAAGUAUGAAAAUGUGGCAUAUACCAUCACUACCGGAAUCCGCAUAUUUGCCGAGUGUUAAAUGUUUUGCCAAGUGUUUUUUUUCGGUCACUCGGCAAAGAAGCUCUUUGCCGAGUGUCACACUCAGCAAAGACCUUCUUUUGACACUCGGCAAAGACCCUUUUACCGGCUAAAAUUUUGUCAUGUGGUCUUUGCCGAGUAUAUUUGAGCCUUUGCCGAGUGCCACAGACACUCGGCAAAGCAUGGGUAUCCGUAUGCAUAUGCGGAGCUAGCAUGGUGGCACCAUGAGCCAUGGACGGACCACCAUAGAAUUUGGAAUAAUAUUAAACUACACUAUAAGUGUUCUGUAUUACAAUAAAAAUUACAUUUAGAAUAUUAUUAUUUAGCUUAUUAUAUUUAGAUGAACCACCCUUACAUUGAAUCCUAGCUACGCCACUGAUAUAUAGUAUAUUUGUUGAUCAGUAGAUGCAUUAUACUAGUAAUAAUCAUAGGGCUUUGGGGCGGAAGAUGCUGAUGUCUCUGUUGUUCACCUCCUGGAGCGGCCUCGCGUUCAUCGUAUUGCCCUGCAGGUAAUUAAGAACACCCAACAACAACGAACUUUAAUUAAUCAGCUUACAAAAACCAAAACCAGCGUCCGUUCAUACUGGCUUUUGGUGAGAAAUGGACUCUUACGUCUUGCAGCGCAUCCCUGAGAAGCUUCACCUGGUACUCGUCCACGUGGCUAAUCUGCACACAAAGCACGCAGCUGACAGCUUAACUUGAGGAAACGCCAGUAACAGCUAGCUAGCUUCCCUCGCCAACGCCACCGUACCCAGGCCCAGGCCGGCGCUGAAGCAAAAAGCAGAGCAUACCUCCUUGAAGACAGUCCAGACGACCUCCUCGGUGCAGGGCGGCGUGGUGAGCGAACCCAUGCAGCGGUAGUACGUAGUAGACGCUGCCGCGGGCACCGUUGGGGGUCUAGAACCCCGACGUCCUUCGGCUGGUCCUUCGUGUUCUUGAUGUGCUUGAUAUAGGGCUCCAGCUUGUGCAGGAACGGGUCCUUGAUGGGGCCGAUCUCGUACAGGACGCCGAUCACCGCCGUCUUGUUCGCCACGGUCUGGUGCACCAGGUGCAGCUCCAGGUCGUACCUGAUGGGUGCGAUCGAGCGCGUGUCUCGGAGCCAUUACAUUAGAGGGGGUAUUUGGUUGAAUGUGUUAAAGUUUAACACACGUAUGAUAUUAUUUUUGUUUUAUUUAGUAAUUAUUGUCUAGUCAUGGGUUAAUUUGACUUAAAAGAUUCGCCUCACAAAUUACUCUUUUAGUUUCGUAAAUAAUCUAUAUUUAGUAUUCUAUAUAUGUGUCCAAAUAUUCGAUAUGAUGAGAUCAAGUUAAAAUUUAACUCCCAAAACCAAACAUUGGCGACCCAAAGUCGUCAGUAUGUUCUAGCUAUAGUAGUGCUAAUAGAUGGACGGAGUAUGUGCUAGCUAGUAGUGCUGCCGGCUGGUUAGCUGCUUAUCUAUGCUAGCCGCCAGCCGGCCGGUGCGGUGUCUUGAUCGAUCUCAGCAAGUCAUGUAUACCAUGACGUAGUGGCCGCCGCUGUUGACGAUGGUGGCCUCGGCGGGGCGCUAGGAGGUGACGAGGUGUUGAGGUAGCCCAGGGAUUGCACCAGCUGGGCACGCUCGUCGGAGAGGUCGAUGGGGGACUGCAUCCGCCCCACGCUGCAGUUGGCCCACUCCGCCUUGAUCUUGCCCCAGUUUUCCGGACCGUUAUCCGCGCCCGGGAGGUAGCUGAAAUCCUCAUCCUCUGCAACCAACAAAUGCAUAUAUCCUCCCUCCAUUCAGAUCUGAUACGUACAUGGACAGGUGCAUGCUGCACGAAAUAUGCUACCUCACGGCAUGCAUGCAUACGGUCGAACAACUCGCCUGUUUCUCCCUGCGCUCUGGCGCCCGGGACGGCGGCGGAGAGCAGGAGCGCCGCGGCGAGGAGAGCCCCCACGGCAGUGUGGCGACCGGGACCCAUGCUAGUAGCUGUCCUUUGUGCGCCGCUUGUUUCUGUGGUCGUUGUUGAUUAAUUUGGGAUGGGUAGGGAGGCCGGCAUGGUAUGGUAGUAUAUUAUGUUAGUAAUACACACGAGCGAGGCGGGCAGGGGAGCUGAUGAACUCUUUUUCAUUUCUUCAGGACGGAGAGGCCGGUUGGUGAUCAGUGCAUUCGGUAACUUGUCAUUGUUGUCAAUGCAUGCAACUUGUGCUCCACUCCAUUGACGGCUCCAAUGUUGGACGGAGAAAUAACGCGCGCGGACAUGAUUUCAGAGGUUUCCCGUUUCUUGUUUAGAAACUGCGCUAGCUGUCAGGAUUUAGGACCUCUGUUUUUACCUGCUAGCUGCUAUGUAUGUAAGAGCAACUCUAACAUAUAUGUUAUCUAGACUAUUUCUAUUUUUUUAAAGCAGAAAUUAAAAUCCAACAGAUAUGCUAUCCGGUUUGCUAAAAUAACAAGUUUGCUAUUUCUAAACUUUUAUUUUUUUUAUUUUACAUGAUGAUUAAAUUUUGUAAUUUAGAAUAUAAUUUUAUCUCACUAGCGAGGCGGGCAGCGCAGCUGAGGCGUGCCGAAUCGUGCGAGCGGCAGAUGGCCAGCGUCGAGCUCGAGCACGGAGCACCGGCGUGGCGUGGGGUGGGGUGGCGCAGCUGAGGUCGGGUUGUCAGUCGUGCGAGCGGCCCUUACCAUUCACCGCCGGCUUCGGCACACAAGUGCUCCUUCGGACGGCUUCCUGGGCUGUAAUGACGGCAAGCUUCUGAUUCAGCCCGGGCAGCCCAUCAGUCGUGACAUGGUCUUUUUUUAUUUUUCCGCAAAGUUGGAGUCGGUCCAUCGCUCGCACAUGGCGCCGCGCAAGACAGGACUGAACUUUUGAUAGUUGCCGAACCACCUUCUUCCUUUGGACUGUAACACUGUUAUUGAUUUAUUGUAAAAGAAAAACACUCCUGAAUGAUUUGUCAACUGCCCAUGAUUCCUCGAGCAUCCCGUCGUGGUGGCAUGAGAGACAGGGACACGAGAGAAAUCAGAGAUAGGUUAAUAAAUUUUAAGAGCUCCUGCACUUAAUUAAUACUCCUUCAGUCCAUAAAAUCAAUUUCUAGAGUUUUCCUAAGUCAAAUUUUUUAAAUUUUAACUAAAUUUUUUAAAAAAAAAUGCUAAGGUUUAUGGUAUCAUAUUAGUAUUAUUAGAUUUAUCAUAAAAUAUAUUUUUAUAUGAUGUGCAUUUUAUAUCAUACAUGUUGUUACUUUUUUCUAUAAAGUUAGUUAAAUUUUAAAAAAAUAAAUCACUACAUGUAUUUUAGGAAUUGAUUCUUUCAUGAAUGGAGUAGCUAUAUUGAUUGAUUGAUUGAUAACUAAGAUAGUGGAGCGGGCUGUUGGAGUUCAUUCGCACUGCACAGAACGAGAACUCCAGCUGGAGGAAAUCUUAGAGGCAUCCUCAUAUCUUGGUUCUUAACAAAGAAAAGACAAUGCCAGUUGGAUCUUCUUGGACGUCAUUUAGAUUUGUACUAGUAGUACUGAACAAUAAUGUUUACAGUAUUCAGGCCCUUAAAAAAAACCUAUUCCGUAUAUUCAGUAAAAAACCUAAACAAUCCAAGGAACACUUUCGGAGUGAUGGAACAACAGCAGUCCAAAACUUGAGCUAGCGAAGCAGUUAAGAGAGUCACCAAUACGACCAAAAUUCUUGAACCGUGCAAAAGUUCAGACGCCCGAAUGAUUUUCAAGAUCAUACAUUCAUACUCCUACUAUACUGAUGGGAGGGAAGCUUCUGCAAGCUACGAAGUAGUAGGAGUAUUUCUUUCCGCGGGUCUACAGAAGUCCAUUGGGUUGGGAUGAUGCUCAUCAGAGAGAAAUUUUGUUUCUUUUUUUAAAAAAAGAAAAAAAGUAUCGUCCGUGGACGUCUUUGGCAGCUCCAUACGCGACGUAUCACCCGGUCGUGCCGGCCGAGGCCUUGUCAAUCUCGACGACUCCUCUCUUUUUAAUUCCUUUAAUGAAUCUUCAAUCGUCGAAAACAAAAACCGUUUCCGAGGAAUUUUCAAGCGCGCUCCUUUUAAAACCAUGUCGUGGAUCCGAAUUUCAAUUCCGACUGCUGUCGACUACAACUAGUUUGCCGCCAAGAACACAGACCGUUCCACGGUUUCAGUUCAGUACACCUCCGCUGAUUCGUGGACGGACCUUGGGAAAAUGGGCCGUCAACCGCAUACGUAUCUACAUCUACCAGGGAUGUACGUUAUGUUACCGGAACGCGGGAGCGGCGACCGCCUGACUGAGCAAGCACCGCCGGGGAGGUUGUUUCACACAGCAGCACGGACAAUUCUGCCGCAUCUGAAUCUGCCGUUCCACACCCACACGUCGUGGAGAGACUUGUGCGUUUGCCGAGUCCCUCCCUGAGGACCCUGACGGUGGCCUCUAGUAGUCGUCUUCCUCGCGUCACCGGAGCACCACAAGUCCGAACAUGAUCAGUGAGAAGUCAACGGGGGGAGGUCGGUCGGCACCUAGAGCCGAGCAUGUCAGCACGGCGGAGCAGCCUCUCAGUCAUCAGCCAAGUCCUGCUGCUGUUGCGGGCCAGGUGUGAGUGUGACCGCUUCCAAGGAGGUUGUUCACACGCCUUGUUUAGUUCUGAUUUUUUUGGGUUUUUAGUAAUGUAGUAUUUUGUUUUAUUUGACAAUUAUUGUUCAAUCAUAGAUUAACUAGGCUUAAAAAAUUCAUCUUAUGAUUUAUAGAUAAACUGUGCAGUUAGUUUUUGUUUUCGUCUAUAUUUAAUGUUUCAUGCAUGUGUCGCAAGAUUCAAUGUGAUAAGGAAUCUUAACAAGUUUUUGUUUUUUUGGGUGAACUAAACAAGGCCUGAGUUAAAAUUUUUGGUUUUGACUAUUCUAAAUUACAAACGAACUAUACAAUUGAUUAUUAUUAUUAUUUAUAUUUAAUAUUUCAUACACGUGCCACAAGACUCGAUAUGACGAGGAAUCUUAAAAACUUUGCAAAUUUUUUCACGAAGUAAACAACACCUCAGGUAACCGCUUCCAAAGAGUAAGGGGGUGUUUGGUUAUGGGUGAUAAAAUUUAAUAUGCACUAUAGUAUUUUUGUUGUAUUUGACAAUUAAUGUCCAAUUAUGGACUAACAAGACUUAAAAGAUUCGUCUCGCAAAUUAUUCUCUAGCUGUUAUUUUAGUUUUGCAAAUAGUAUAUAUUUAGUACUUCAUACAUAUGUCCGAACAUUCAAUGCGAUGAGUGAUAAAAAAAAGAACUUAGAACCAAACAGGGCCUAAACCUCUUGGCUGGUUUAGUAUCCAAAUUUUUUUUAAUAUUUUCUGUAACAUUGAAUCUUUCGACGCAUACAUAAAGCAUUAAAUAUAAAUAUAAAUAAAAACUAAUUACAUAAUUUGUCUGUAAUUUGUGAGAUGAAUCUUUUUAGCCUAGUUACUCCGUAAUUAAACACGAAUUAAACAAGGCCCUUGCUCUUUAACUCAGAUUCAGAAGAGACCCGCCGUCCGGCGUGAUAAGCCGUUUGCAAUGCAUUGGCGGCAUCAACCGCGACUGCAUUUUCUACCACCCACCACCACCAACCACGUAUUUGUCGUCCCUCUCGCCAACGGUAACUCACACGCAUUUGCCGUUCAUACAACAGAAAAGCAGAGCUGAGCUACACGAGAUUGCCCGAUUUUCCAAAAACUGGACUUGAGUAUUGAGUAGUACUGUUGUACUGGUCCAAGGCACAUGGCGCGAGGUCUGCGUGGUCGUCGUCUUGUUCGUCAGGUCCGUGCUCACUGCUCGUAGCUGUAGUACUUGGCUUUGUUAUAGUAGAUUGCUUGUAUCACUCAUCUCUGCAUCCUACAUGUUUCUGAAACAUUUUUCUUCACUUGCAGGGAGAAGACAAAUCCAGCUGGCUGAAUGGUCUCAAACAUAAACUGUGUGACUCGUCAUGUUUUUAACAAAGACUGUGUCAGUUAGACAGUCAUGUUUGUGGUCCCAACUACUCAACAAUAAUCAAAUCGAGUCCCACAUGCGCAUCAGCAACCUUUCUUCUUCUUUUUUUCUGCAAAAGUGCACACCACUACACCAGAAGGGCAGAAGGUGAUGCUUAGUUUAUUUAGUCCUACUCUUCAUCAGAGUAUAACAGAGAGGUAGAAAGAAUUACAAUACAAAACUGUAAUCAUAUACAGUAUACAUCUCCCCCUCAACACUGAACCAUCCAACAAAUUGAAUGCAAUUCAUCUCAUAUGUAUAUUAUUCUGAAGGUCUGUCUGAACCACGGGUGUUCAGCUCAUGCAUCAUCACUGAUACUGUGCUAACUACGCUGCUGGAUCAUGGAGCCUAUAACUAGUAGUGCUUAUGGGGCUUUGGGCGGAAGAUGCUGAUGUCUCUGUCGUUCACGUCCUGAACCGGCCUCGCGUUCUUCUCCAUGCCCUGAAAAAAAGCAGGUAAACACAAGCGAGACAAAAAUUUGGUCAGACUGAUAAAAAACAAAACAAAAACCAGAUUUCUUGGCGCCUUCUAGAAUCUAUAGGCUCUGUUCGCUUAAGCUUGUCUGUCGAAUCUGUUAGUCAUUCAGCAGUGUUUUUCUCUUCUAACAAGUCAGCAAACAGAGCAUAUAGAUACAUGCUAACACGCUGCUGGUCAAACUUUUGGAAAUUAGGUAGCGGCAAUGUGGACUUACGUCGUGCACGGCUUCCCUGAGAAGCUCCAUCUGGUGCUUGGACACGGUGCGGACCUGCAUAAACGAAACACUCAAAAACCUCGGGAAAAUGCUAGUAUAAAAAUCCAACCGAAAUCGAUCACCAACCCACAUGCCGACCAACAUCUUGACUUUGUUUAAAACACGGUUGGUCGUUGGAUCGGUCAGCGCCAAUCACGAUCGAGUAAAUGUCAUGAUGGGUGAUCUCCGGAGUAAACGAAAUUGAAGCUAAAAGUUUGGAAUUUGACGAGAAAUUUAUUGCAAAGCCAAAGCCAAAGCCUAUAUACCCUCUUGACGACGGUCCAGAUGACCCCCUCGGUGCAGGGCGGCGUGGUGAGGGAGCCCAUGUAGCGGUAGUAGACGCUGGCCCUCCCCCGCGCGCGCCGCGGGUCCACCACGCCGACGGGCUCCUCCCUGUCCUUCCUGUCGGCGAUCCGGUGGAUGAACGGCUCCAGCGCCUGCAGGAACGGGUCCUCGCCGCCGAUCUCGUAGAGGAUGCCGAUCACCGCCGUCUUGUUCGCCAAGGUCUGGUGCACCAGGUGCAGCUCCAUGUCGUACCUGCGAGCACGGGCGCACGCGACGAACCAACAUCUCAGAGCCGUUACUAGUAAGUAAUUAAGCAAUUAGGGAAUGAGUAAUUAAGCGGUUCACGUCAAGGCUUUAUUAUUAGCUCCUCAACGGCG
rnacentral:lncRNA from 1 species